AUUGAACGCUGGCGGAAUGCUUUACACAUGCAAGUCGAACGGCAGCACGGGGGCAACCCUGGUGGCGAGUGGCGAACGGGUGAGUAAUACAUCGGAACGUGCCCAGUCGUGGGGGAUCACUACGCGAAAGCGUAGCUAAUACCGCAUACGAUCUAUGGAUGAAAGCGGGGGAUCGCAAGACCUCGCGCGAUUGGAGCGGCCGAUGGCAGAUUAGGUAGUGGUGGGGUAAAGGCUCACCAAGCCUGCGAUCUGUAGCUGGUCUGAGAGGACAACCAGCCACACUGGGACUGAGACACGGCCCAGACUCCUACGGGAGGCAGCAGU
rnacentral:rRNA from 1 species